AUCAGUGCCGGCUUUGGGAUUGACACCCGGGCAGUGAAACAGUAAACAGUGAACACUGAACACUGAACAAGCGAAAACCGAACAUGCCAUCUCUCAUCUCUGGUACCUGAAACUGCUCCGAAGGUUUUGACAAGCGGAUUCACAUUGUCCCUAAGAAGUUCGGAGAACGGUACUAGGUUUUUCUCCAGCUAGGGUGUUGGAUUUUGGCUUUGGGACAGGUUCGGUUCUGUGGGCGUGAGAAUGCUGGCCUCGUUCAUUGGAGAGAGCCAUCGAAAUCAAUGCAAAGGGCUGGCCAGAGCCUUUUACAGGGUUUUGGUAGAGCCCGGGACACCGCAUGAUCUAACAUCAUAUCUCAAAUGCGAUGUCAUAUCCUCAGGAUGUCAAAGAAGAACUGUCAUAAAUUUGAUGGAUCUGAUGAGGCUUCAAAGGAUAUAAUGGCUUUCAAAAGCGGUGCAUUCAUGGUUUCUCCUGUAAGUUUCAUUUCUUUUCCAACAUUUUACCAUCUUUCAUAUUAAUUCACACCCUGUUUGGCGGUGUAUUUGUGGUUUCUCCUGUGUUUUACAUUUUUCUUGUUGCAGUGCCCUCAUGAUGGACCUUGUACAUUGGAGAACACUAGCAAAAUUGUUCCUGAAAUUUUUCCAUUUUUUUCAAUGUUUGGAGAGGGCAUCUUCACAUUGUGCAUACAAGGUUACUUGUUUAAUUUGAUCAUAUGUUUGGUUCCAAUGAACUUCUGGACUUUUGGUUGCUUUUAUUGUCAAUAUCAAUGUUUUGAAAACUGGACCUGACUGGAUGGAAUCCAGUCCUUCCACAGUUCUAUGCAUGAUUUUUAAAACCCGACUGGAGAAUGCCCUCUAUUCCAGGUUUUGCCAGUUUUGAAGAGAAAUCCGCCCCAUGCCCGAAAAUCCCCAAAUGGAAAAAUAGGUUAGUCCGGUGUUUCUGUUUCAACCACCGGUUGUGCCGGUUUUGAAACUAUAUGGUUGUAUGAAUCCAGCUGACCACCAUUCUUCAUUAAUGGUGUUGACUUGGCCUACAACUAUUUGUACCAUGGUUGAAUCGUACAACUGGAUGAUCAGGCUGCCAGGUCAUGGGUUAGGCCCAAAGUGUUUGUGGAAAGUUAGAUUAUGCCCCGUCUAGACCAAAUGAGCCAACUCCAGUCAGAGUGAUUCUUGACCAUAUCAACAGCUUUGGCUGCCUAAUGACUCGAGGUUCUAUACCACUGCAAAGUGAACCACUUCAAAGUUUUGGUGGUUGAACCAGGUGGUCUGGUCUGGUUCGGUUCUCAGACAAUGGUUAGUACUUUUUUUUUUAAAAUGGAGACUGAUAACAUGAUAUGAUAGUAGUCCGACCUGCCUGGUGAGUUACUUUUUAUUAUGGUUUCCUAGGGUGGGUGUUACCUAUACCUUCGUGGUACAUGAUAAAUGCAUAGUUUUGAAUUGAAGUUGCAAUAUGCAAACUGUGUCGUUCUUAACUUCAGUGUUUAUACUUUCAUUUAUUUGCGAUCAAUGAGUUAGUUUCACAUAGUUCUGAUGAUCUGUUAGGCAAUGUUGUUGAUACUGAUCUCUUUUUUGUUCCUGAAAGAAGGAAAUCAAUCAAUGUUGUCUAUUUCUUCUCCAUUUUUCUGUAAGAGGUCCAAGGGUGGACCUUUACCUGGAUUUGAGGAUGAGAUACUUUGUAUGGUUGCCUUGAGUUGAGGGCAACACCACGGUGAGUGACUCUUCCAUAGCAAUGCCAUGUUCUAUAUCUGGAAGUUGAGCAUUAAUCUCUUGGUUACCUAGCUAAGAUCCACAGGUACUGUGAUAAAAAUGAUUAUGGUUUGAUCAAUGACAGAGGACCAAUUUAGGUCCAAAGAUGAGGAUAUUCCAUAUGAAGAGGAUCCAGUUUCACAUGACUCUAAUAUAAUGGAGACAAAUGCCAUGAAUGAGGUACUGAGCAUGAAGAAGUGGAGAUAAUUAAAGUGUGUUAGUGAAAGAAAUGUAAAGAGCCAAUGAUUUAGUGUUACUUUUUUCUGUUUACCAGCCUUGGUUGCAAUAAUAUUUUUCCUUCAAUGUUUAUCCUCCUUAUAGUAAACUGUAUCUGGGUUUAGGGCUUCAUAACCCCCAAGGAAAAGAAAUAAUAUUCUAGGUUUUGGGUUGGUUUUGUGUAACAUCAAUUUCCUUUCCUUAGUAAUGAUGCCUUUGGAAGCAUCUGGGCCAUCACACGUUCAUUGCCUAUAUGCUUACUUUAUUUUCACUUCUAUAUGGUUUUUAUGAAUUGCCCUGUGCUUAUAGUGUUUCUACAGAAUAAGGCCUGCUUAAGUUAUGAGUAGUAUCCUUUACCCAGGUCACACUUCUGGGAGCCCUGGACACUAAGUUGUGAGGGAAUCCAUGGCCCACACCUGCAAAGAGUUUACUCCAUUUGAACCUCCACAGCCCAUCUAGCUCUUGCGACAGCAUGAUUAAGUGUUAGCAUGGUGAUGCGUUUGGAUGGCUGUCUGGGUGCUCACAUCUGCAGAAUAUGCGCUGCACACCGCGGUGGGCUGCAGAGGAGCCGGAACCUGAAAUGUUUGGUGGAUAUUAUAUUGGACAUUUUUUUGUUGGCAAGAGAACGCUACCCGGUUGGCAUAGGCACACGUCAGCAUGUGUGCCAAUGGGAGGGCAUGCAGGAGCAACUUCAGCCCCUACAAGGUAAGAUAGGGAUUGACUUCCUUGUCUGGCUGCUUAGCUUCUCCUUGUUUUUAUCUCUCCUAUAAAAUGAUAUAUGAGAGAGAGAGAGA